rnacentral:rRNA from 1 species
GACGAACGCUGGCGGCGUGCUUAACACAUGCAAGUCGAACGGAAAGGCCCUGCUUUUGUGGGGUGCUCGAGUGGCGAACGGGUGAGUAACACGUGAGUAACCUGCCCUUGACUUUGGGAUAACUUCAGGAAACUGGGGCUAAUACCGGAUAGGAGCUCCUGCUGCAUGGUGGGGGUUGGAAAGUUUCGGCGGAUGGGGAUGGACGCGCGGCUUAUCAGCUUGUUGGUGGGGUAGUGGCUUACCAAGGCUUUGACGGGUAGCCGGCCUGAGAGGGUGACCGGCCACAUUGGGACUGAGGUACGGACCAGAGUCCUACGGGAGGCAGCAGUGGAGAGUAUUGCACAAUGGGCGGAAGCCUGAUGCAGCAACGCCGCGUGCGGGAUGACGGCCUUCGGGUUGUAAACCGCUUUCGCCUGUGACGAAGCGUGAGUGACGGUAAUGGGUAAAGAAGCACCGGCUAACUACGUG